rnacentral:rRNA from 1 species
ACGACUGCUAAUACCGCAUAAAGUUGAGAGACCAAAGCAUGGGACCUACGGGCCAUGCGCCAUUUGAUGAACCCAUAUGGGAUUAGCUAGUUGGUGGGGUAAUGGCUCACCAAGGCGACGAUCUCUAGCUGGUCUGAGAGGAUGACCAGCCACACUGGAACUGAGACACGGUCCAGACUCCUACGGGAGGCAGCAGUGGGGAAUAUUGCACAAUGGGGGGAACCCUGAUGCAGCCAUGCCGCGUGUAUGAAGAAGGCCUUCGGGUUGUAAAGUACUUUCGGUGAUGAGGAAGGURAUGAAUCUAAUAGGUUUAUUAAUUGACGUUAAUCACAGAAGAAGCACCGGCUAACUCCGUGCCAGCAGCCGCGGUAAUACGGAGGGUGCGAGCGUUAAUCGGAAUGACUGGGCGUAAAGGGCAUGUAGGCGGAUAAUUAAGUUAGGUGUGAAAGCCCUGGGCUCAACCUAGGAAUUGCACUUAAAACUGGUUAACUAGAGUAUUGUAGAGGAAGGUAGAAUUCCACGUGUAGCGGUGAAAUGCGUAGAGAUGUGGAGGAAUACCGGUGGCGAAGGCGGCCUUCUGGACAGAUACUGACGCUGAGAUGCGAAAGCGUGGGGAGCAAACAGGAUUAGAUACCCUGGUAGUCCACGCUGUAAACGAUGUCGAUUUGGAGUUUGUUGCCUAGAGUGAUGGGCUCCGAAGCUAACGCGAUAAAUCGACCGCCUGGGGAGUACGGCCGCAAGGUUAAAACUCAAAUGAAUUGACGGGGGCCCGCACAAGCGGUGGAGCAUGUGGUUUAAUUCGAUGCAACGCGAAGAACCUUACCUGGUCUUGACAUCCACAGAAUCUUGUAGAGAUACGAGAGUGCCUUCGGGAACUGUGAGACAGGUGCUGCAUGGCUGUCGUCAGCUCGUGUUGUGAAAUGUUGGGUUAAGUCCCGCAACGAGCGCAACCCUUAUCCUUUGUUGCCAUCGAUUCGGUCGGGAACUCAAAGGAGACUGCCGUUGAUAAAGCGGAGGAAGGUGGGGACGACGUCAAGUCAUCAUGGCCCUUACGACCAGGGCUACACACGUGCUACAAUGGCGUAUACAAAGGGAGGCGACCUCGCGAGAGUAAGCGGACCUCACAAAGUACGUCUAAGUCCGGAUUGGAGUCUGCAACUCGACUCCAUGAAGUCGGAAUCGCUAGUAAUCGUGAAUCAGAAUGUCACGGUGAAUACGUUCCCGGGCCUUGUACACACC